rnacentral:rRNA from 1 species
UACGGAGGGUGCAAGCGUUGCUCGGAAUUAUUGGGCGUAAAGGGUAGGUAGGUGGUCUCAUUUGUCUGGGGGGAAAGCCUUGAGCUUAACUCAAGAAGUGCCCCAGAAACGGUGAGACUGGAGUCCUGGAGAGGGUCGUGGAAUUCCCGGUGUAGCGGUGAAAUGCGUAGAGAUCGGGAGGAACACCAGAGGCGAAGGCGGCGACCUGGACAGGUACUGACACUCAACUACGAAAGCGUGGGGAGCAAACAGG